AUACACAUACUUUGAACUCUACAAACAAUACAUACGAUUAAUCAUUUAUUAUAUAUUACGAACACGUAAUUAGUAUAUACAUUACUAUGAAAAAUGAUCGCAGUUUAUUCCGCAAUACUUGUCAUAUUGUUUAAUAUUAAUCACCACAAAAAGUGAAGAUAAUAUACUUCAUUUUCGUGCUUAUUGUUAAGAUUAGAAUUUUGUAAUCUUUUAUAUCGCAUCCCGCGGGUAGAGAAUUUAUUUGGAUCACUGUCACGCGACUCCGUACCGACGAUGGCCCCCCAAGCAAAUAGUGAAAAAUACGUUCAAAUUAUUGCAAAUGUGGGGGUUCUGCGGAUGGUCACACUCGACUGAAGUUACCCGGUCGAGGUCACUAGGAGAUCAGAUUCAUCGAGAAGUCGUUGAAUCGCGGAAGAGAGGACCAUACCUAUUACAUUUUAAUAAAUCAUACUUCGGUAAAUCUACCUAUGAUAGCAGGUGUUUCAAGUUAAGAAGAAUCUCAAGUAGUUUUGCACUACUUUCCUCAAGUUAAACUUCGGAUCGAUCAUGCAUCUUUACAAACAGGAAAACAUU